rnacentral:rRNA from 1 species
UUUAUGGAGAGUUUGAUCCUGGCUCAGGAUGAACGCUGGCGGCGUGCCUAAUACAUGCAAGUCGAGCGAACGGACGAGAAGCUUGCUUCUCUGAUGUUAGCGGCGGACGGGUGAGUAACACGUGGAUAACCUACCUAUAAGACUGGGAUAACUUCGGGAAACCGGAGCUAAUACCGGAUAAUAUUUUGAACCGCAUGGUUCAAAAGUGAAAGACGGUCUUGCUGUCACUUAUAGAUGGAUCCGCGCUGCAUUAGCUAGUUGGUAAGGUAACGGCUUACCAAGGCAACGAUGCAUAGCCGACCUGAGAGGGUGAUCGGCCACACUGGAACUGAGACACGGUCCAGACUCCUACGGGAGGCAGCAGUAGGGAAUCUUCCGCAAUGGGCGAAAGCCUGACGGAGCAACGCCGCGUGAGUGAUGAAGGUCUUCGGAUCGUAAAACUCUGUUAUUAGGGAAGAACAUAUGUGUAAGUAACUGUGCACAUCUUGACGGUACCUAAUCAGAAAGCCACGGCUAACUACGUGCCAGCAGCCGCGGUAAUACGUAGGUGGCAAGCGUUAUCCGGAAUUAUUGGGCGUAAAGCGCGCGUAGGCGGUUUUUUAAGUCUGAUGUGAAAGCCCACGGCUCAACCGUGGAGGGUCAUUGGAAACUGGAAAACUUGAGUGCAGAAGAGGAAAGUGGAAUUCCAUGUGUAGCGGUGAAAUGCGCAGAGAUAUGGAGGAACACCAGUGGCGAAGGCGACUUUCUGGUCUGUAACUGACGCUGAUGUGCGAAAGCGUGGGGAUCAAACAGGAUUAGAUACCCUGGUAGUCCACGCCGUAAACGAUGAGUGCUAAGUGUUAGGGGGUUUCCGCCCCUUAGUGCUGCAGCUAACGCAUUAAGCACUCCGCCUGGGGAGUACGACCGCAAGGUUGAAACUCAAAGGAAUUGACGGGGACCCGCACAAGCGGUGGAGCAUGUGGUUUAAUUCGAAGCAACGCGAAGAACCUUACCAAAUCUUGACA